rnacentral:lncRNA from 1 species
CUGGGACUCCUGUGUCCUGGGCCAGGCUUGGGCGCCAGCCUGGGAGCCUCCAGCCCAUCUAGCAGGGAGCUGCAAAGCCAGCCCGCAUCAGAGCAGCCUCAGCCACGGCCGGUGAGGGAGGUGCAGAUGUUCAGGUCAUGCGGGAAAUCUAAUCGCAUCAGGAACGACAGGUCUGACUGAUGAACACCUGAUGAACAUCUAAUGACAAAGGCUCAAGUUACCCACUAAGCAACUGCGACCUUCUUGGUGCCAGCAAAGCUCUGCAUGGCUGGUCUUGAGACAAUGGCCUGAGGAUGAGCCUGCUGGCCUUGUGUAUUCUCUACCCUCCCUUCAUCCAGGAAGCAGAGGGGUCCAGGCUGCCUCCCCUAAACACCAAUAUGCCCAUCUCAAGGGCCAUUGAGGUAAACUAGGAGUUAUAGAACUGUGCUAAAUUUUAUCUAUAAAGGUCUUUACCAAAUAUUGACUCAGAAAGAAAGGACUCCACCUGCCCGCGUAAUUAAGGGAAGGCACCCUGGAGGAG